UUUCUUCUUUUUGAGUCGCUGUUCAGUGUAAUUUUAAUAAUCAAGCAUGUAUGCAUGCAUAUAUGUAUGAGUUUAUGAUUUCUGCAGCAAAGAGGAAAUGGGUGUGGCUGGGGCUUAGAGACAAGGGAAUGGUUAUGGGCACUGGCAUGGAGCUAGCCUGACACUCACUUCUAAGCAUUGGAAGAACAAGCUCGAACUCCUCUCUCGCCCCCACGCUUGCAACCUUGCACGCGUGCGUGCCCGAGCAGCAGGACUUUGGCUUGUUUUUGCAGCAUGAUGGGCUCCCUCUUGUCCCAUCGCUUAUCAAGUGAAAGAAUUGCUCUGGAAAAUGAUGCCAUAUAGGUACAAACUUUUCCCUAUAUUUUAAUUAAGAGAUUAGGUAAAUGUUGACACGUGGAUCAAGGUUAUUGAUUAGGUGUAUAUUAAUUUUCAGCAUGUAGUUAUAAUUAUUAAGUGAUUUUAUACGUAUUUAGAGAAAUAUUUAAAAUAAUCUAUGAUUUUGAAGAGAAUGGAUCUCAUCAGAAUCUUCGGAGUAAUUAUGGUUGGCAUAUGCCUUAAACGCAUCAACUUCAUUGCCAUUGCCUUCACCUAUUGUUUCUUCUACCAUAUUCCAUUCAACCCAACGACCCAUUCUCUCCCUUUCUCCUUUUUUUGGAACUUUCCCUUUCUU